rnacentral:rRNA from 1 species
CCCUUAGAUGUCCGGGGCCGCACGCGCGCUACACUGAAGGAAUCAGCGUGGCUUUCUCCCUGACCCGAAAGGGUUGGGAAACCCGUUGAAUCUCCUUCGUGAUAGGGAUUGGGGCUUGAAAUUGUUCCCCAUGAACGAGGAAUUCCCAGUAAGCGCGAGUCAUAAGCUCGCGUUGAUUACGUCCCUGCCCUUUGUACACACCGCCCGUCGCUACUACCGAUUGAACGGUUUAGUGAGGGCCUCGGAUUGGUCUCGGCCCGCUCUUUACAGGGCGGCGCCGUUGGUCGAGAAGACGCUCGAACUUGAUCGUUUAGAGGAAGUAAAAGUCGUAACA